rnacentral:lncRNA from 1 species
UUAAUUUCGCCAAUCACAUCAAUGCCCCACAUUGCAAAGGGCCACGGCGCGGUCAACACGUUUAAUGGAGCAGGAGGCACAUGUACUUUAUCCGCAUAGAUCUGGCACUUAUGACAAGUUCUGGAGUGAUGGUGGCAAUCAGUUUCCAUGGUAGACCAAUAAUACCCUGACCUCAGAAUCUUCUUGGCCAUUGUAUGUCCACUAGAAUGAGUCCCAAAGAUACCGUCGUGCAUGUCUUCCAUAAUCUUCUCUGAUUCCUU